GUUACUCUUGAUAGCCAAUAAAUUUAUUUUCUGAAUUUCAACUUCGUUGCAUUUUCUCUGAACUUUUAUAAUCUUUGUACGGUUUUUCUUCGUUUGAUCAACAGGUUUUAACAAUUCGCCUCGAUGAAUAUAUUACAAUAUUUAGUGCCACUUCGAGUCAGUUUCAAGUUUCUUACAUUAUUGUUAUAUUUUCUUCUGUUCCGUUUUUUGGUUUGAACUUGGUUCGCGUUCAUCAGGUACUCUUAUCAAGUAGGUGAGCGUUUCUUCGAUUUAUCAUUUACUUAUUUUUUUUUUGUAUUUAAACUAUGCUUAGAAAUCUAAAACGAAUCUGAAAAAUGUCUAGUUUUGUAGUUUUUGUAAUUUUCAUUAGUAUCGUGGAUUUAUCUAUAUCUAUAAUUAUUUUCAUCGCAUGAGUAGUUUUCCUUGAAGUGUAUCUAAAGUGGAACCAUUCCACAACAGUUCCGCAGCGGAAACGAAGCAUGCAGCGGAUUAUCUUAUGUUCCAUCGAUAAACAUAAGGCCAGCAAAAUGGUCCGAUCAGCAGACAGAAGAAGUUGCAAAGUUUUCUUUACAGCUCAUAAUGGGUUGACUUUGAGGCUUCUGAAAAGAACGGUAAAGGGUAGGGUGACGACGACGUAUUAUAGGAUUGCUCCGAGGGAAGGGGCAGAUUGUAAUCUUUUUCCCGAACGGUUGUCGUUUUCUUCUGUAAAGUUUAUACUUCACAUUGGAUUGGAAUGGUUGGUUGGUUGGUUGGUUGUGCGGGCAUUGGCCCAUCCCACUUGUUGUUUGUUUCGACUGUUUUGCGCCACGAUUCGGUGCAGUGAUUUUGCUUUCAGGAUUGAAAAGGACGAAGAGGGGGUUGCCUUGCCGUUUGUCGUGUCGUGUGUCAAUUCCGGGACCGGUUUGUUUGACCUGGGUAAGUGUGGAAAGUCUGAUUUGCAACUGUUUUUUUUUUUGUUCGAUCCAGGUGAUAACAUUUAUGAGUUGCAGCUGUUUUCUGCGUUGUUUGAAUAGGGGUCGCAAAAAAGGGUAACUACUUCCUCGACAUUUUGUACCGGUGGGAAUUUGAGUUUUGUUCCGAGGUGAACAAAUUUCGAUCCACCGAUUUCAACGAAAAACGGAUUUUUAUACAGCUAACCCGAUUAAAGUGAAUCGUGCAAACGCUUUCCAUCUGAAAUCGAGGUGGAAAUUUGUUUCAGUGUUUGGAGAUCAAAACAGCUUAUUUCAAACUGUAUCAAUUUUUAAAGAUUUAAAAAAUACAAAAAAAAAGCAUUUAGUCUUUCCAGUACACUUAGUGUACGAGAAAGGCGAAACACCCCCAAAUGUUCAAUAGUGGAUGGUUUUUACUCAAAUACAUUUCUUAAUGUGUUGUAAAUACAUAGUAUUUUAUGAACUUUCUGACACUUUCUAACAUAGUGUUUCAUGAACUUACUCUAGAUUUCUUCAAGUGUCAAACAACCAAGUGCAAUUGUUUUAUUGAUUGUCAAAUUAUAUUGCAAAAUUGUCGAUGAAGCAGUAAUAUUAAUGCUUAUUGCAGGCACGGACGUUUGAAAAGUUAUUCUGGAUAUGAUUUUCAACAGUUUUUCAUGUCAAAUGUCGAAUUCUUGUAAUCAAUAGUUGAAUAUGAAUCAUUCAAAUACUUCGAUUUUCAAUUGUUAAGAUUCAUGAUAAGAAACAAAAAAAAAACAAAUUUGUUUAACUCGAAUUGAUAGGCGGGAUGCUUUACUGGGCUUAUUAUAUUAUGAAUAGCUCUGUAAUCUCGAAAAACCAAACGGAAUGCGCUCCGCUCCGAUCAUUAAAGCGGUCAUCUUUGAAAGCAUUGCGACAAUUGCCCGCCUCUUUUGUCCCAUUCAGCAACGUCUACAAUUUUCAAUUUUUAAAAUAAACGAAUGUCAUGAAAUAUUUGACAAUAUAUGAUAAAAUUACUAAACUUGUCUUAACUGUACCGUAUACGGUAUUAUACUGUCAGUGUUCUCUGGAUUGUAACAGGAUUUUUAAGAGUGGCAUACUGGCAAGCAAAAGCUUAUUGCAUUCGUGUAGUUAUUGAAAUUUGAAUGAAUAACUAAAGGAAUGUUCCCCCAGAUCCUCCAUAUUGAAUUAUUGUUAAAAUACUGUAUUCAAACAUUACAGUUUUUUUUUCAAAUUGCGCACAUGCAAUUUAGCAAAAGAGGAAACUAUUAUUUUAUAUUUGUUCGCCAGGUUUAUAAAUGCGUCUGAAGAAUGUAGUACAGAUAUUAUUAAAGUAUCAUUUGCUAUGUCAUUUCCAAUGCGGUGUCUUUUUCAUUUUCCUUUUUACUGUUCUUAUUUUCAAAUAUUUUACCAAAGGUAUAUCGUUGUUUUUUUUUUUUAAAUUCCAGAAUCUAAAUAAGAUUUUUCCACUAUUACAAAUUCUGAAUUAAUUUUAAGAUUUAUCAUGAAGAUAAUUUGAAAAACGAAUUUGGCUUCGUUGAAAUUGAUUUAACUAAUUCAUUGAGUGUUUUUUAUCAGUUUUAAACUUGGAGUUAUUUCGUUAUAGGUAAUUACAUGGAAUUUAAUUGGAACCUUUAAACCAACUGGCGUUUCUUCUUGGAAUUUGAUUCUUAUCAACUAAUCCAACUGGUAAAUGGGGGUACUAUCGGUAACUGUACUGAUAUGGUUGAUACAUAAUAAUAGUUAUUUAUGUAACGAGUGGCAAAAAGUUUAUUUUUUCAACACGAGUCGUACAUUUAAAUACAAAAGGUGCUGAAAAAACGAGUUUUGCAACGAGCUCCAUACACAAUUUUAUGCAAUGAUUUUUUCCAUUAUACCACUCAUUUGAGUUGCAUAAUGAACAUUAUGCAACUAUUUUUCAUUAUGAAACUGAUUCCAGUUGCAUAAUGAACCGGUACGCAAAAGCGGGUCAUUAUAAUACUGAGAUAAGUAGAAUACAAUAGAAAUUAUGAUACCGAAUUGCAUAAAAGUGUUUUUUUUUUGCAAAUAUGACUGAUUCUAGCCAUUUUCAAAAAUGUUUAUUCUAAAACCAUUUUGUUUCUUCACAAAUUUGAGUUUUAAGCCACCGAACUUUUAUUUUAACAUAUAUUCCUCUUGUCUGUGAAAGUUUUAUCAUUCAAUAACCAUGAUUCAAAUCAGAAUUCUGAAAAAAACUUGAGAAAUUUUUGAGAAUUUAUUACCCAACUAAUUAUAAUUUCGAGCGUUGAUUGAAAAGCUAACAUUGAACCAUACGUUAGAAGUGUAAAUAUUCAUGUUCGAAUCAUUCCAAACUCGAAUUUUAAAGUUUCUUUUGUUGAUUCAUUCAUACAUGAAUGAAUGAAUACAAUUAGAAGUUCAUGCUAAAUGUGUUUAACUUGUCAAAUUAGUUCAAUUUUUUUUUUAUUAAAUUCACUAGUUUACAGCAUUUUUGAACUCGGUAAGCUGAUGAUUGUUUUUGGUGUAGAAUCAUGCCCUGAGUUUGAAAACGCGAAGGAAAAAAAUUACAGUAGAGCGGAAUUUUUUUCGACUUUCCAUACAAGGUUGAUGGUUUGAAAUCGAUUUUAGUUCUAUUUUUUUCUAUUUUUAAGCAAAGUCGCUCACUUCACACAUCUCAUUCUCCGUAAUCAAUGCUCCGAUUGAGCUGAAUUUUUUACUGUAACUCGCCCUAUGAUAUGUCAAAUAAACGUUGAGAAAGAAUUUUUAAAUUAUUUUUUUCUUAUUGAAAAAAAUACAUUUCUUCAUAUAUUUUUGGAAAUUAUGCUAAAAUUUAAGGAGAUCGUCCCCAAAACUCGCCAAUAUCUUGAAUUUCAUCCAUCUGACGCAAAACCUGCAUUCAGAUGAUCGAAUGGUAUUAUAUUCAGCUUUUAAUUUAUGGAAAAAGAUUUAAAAUUGGUUGAACAAAACGCAAGAUAUUUGAAUUUUAUUAAAUUUCAUAUUUUAAAAAGUUGUUAAACUCGAUAUUGAGCUAAAACUCAAAAACUGCUCUACGUUAAAUUUAUUGAAGCCCGGGUUCGAAAUUAGCGCUAAAUUAUGCCUCAAAAAUUUUGGUUGUUGACAGAAGUUCACGACUUUCGUUUUAAUUUGUAAACUAGUGAUUUCAGUCAACAUUCAUUUUGCUCUUUUCAGCAAAUGCCUUUUUUUUCAAAAUUUUUCUCUUUUUUUAUGUUGAAAAAAAAAAUUAAAAAAAACUAUCCGAAAAAGUUCAAAACUAAAAUUAAGCCAUUGUUUCUUAAAAAAUAUUGAAUAUGUACCAAGGGUAAAUUUUAAUUGAGAAAGUCCAUAUCCAGAAAUAACAUUUGUGAUGAAAAAUGUGCUCAAAAUUAAAGUUAUUCAAAUGCAAACCUUUUGAUAUUCUACCAUAACCAGUUUUGUCAACCAAAAUUCAAACAAAAGAUAUGAUAAUGAAAAAAAUAUAUUUUAAAUUUUGAUUGGUUGAAUGACUAAAACAAAGAUUUUUUGAAUAGAAUCAAUCGCGUUUAACGAAUUCGCAAAAUUUCAUUUGUAGACAAAAAGUUUUAAAACAAGAUGUCAUCGCUCAAGAAAAUGACCAAUUAGCUUCUUUAGCAGUGUUCAGAUAAUUCCAUAUUCUGAAUUUGCACGCCAAACUGGGCCGAAGUCCAUUUUUUUAUGAAUUUUGGUGAUUUAAAAACAAUUUGAAAACACUCUUUGAAAUUGAUUUUGGGUAUCAAAAUGGAGUUCCAAAAAUCCGAAAAAAAAUCAUAGUGGCACAGAAAAACGUGCUUUUUCGAAAAAAAAUAUAAUAAAAAUUUACAUUUUUUAAAUUUUAGAUACCGAAUUUCAUCCCGGCAAAGAAGAAGAGCGUGUGAAUCGUUAAGGCCCCUCGCUUUUAUUUGUUUUAGAUCAUCAUUCAUUAAGUUAUAAAAGUUUCUAGACGUAUAAAGAUUCACAUAUUUUAAAUUUUCACAUUAAAGGUGGUAGACAAUCAAAUUUUUCAAAUUUAUGGUGCACGGGAACUAAUAUAAAAAUGUGGGUUUUGCUUUGGGCCGAGCUUUCAUGAGGAAAAACCAAAAAAUCUCAAAGACAUUGUUAUUAGGUAUUAAAUCUUAGUGGCUCAAAAAACGUGCUUUUUUGUUAAAAUUAAAAAAAAAAUCAUUACAUUUUUAAAAACUAAUCCUGGCACGCAAGGGUAACACAGAGCGUAUGAAUAGUUAAGGUCGCUCGCUUUAAUUUGUUUAGAUAAUAUUACAUUUAGAUAUAAAAGUUUCCAGAGGUAUAAAGAUUCACAUAUUUUUUUAAUUUUCACAUUAAAUGUGGUCGACAAUCAAAUUUUUGAAAUUUAUGGUGCAAGGGAACUAAUAUAAAAAUGUGGAUUUUGUUUUGGCUGGAGCUUUCAUGAAGAAAAGUCAAAAAAUCUCAAUGAAAUUGAUUAUAGGUAUCAAAAGAAAGUUUUACAAAUCUUAAAAGAUAGCGGGUAAGGAAAAGGUAUUACGUAGUUUAAAUAAAAAAAACAAUUACAUUUGAAGGACGCAAUUUAGUGAAUAAAGCAAUUCAAUCUAUCAUAAAAGUAAACGUAUGCACAAAAUAUCCACUUUUUUUUGUAAACUUUAAAGUUUGAUGCGGUCGAUUUUAUAAAUUUAUUCAACUUUUUUUCCUUACUUUUUAGAAGUAACAUGUUUGAAUGGUCAAUACACGUACCUUUUUUUCAAAAUAGCAGAUAAAAAUGUAUUGUUUUUCGAAACAUUUAACAUUUUGAUAAUUUUUAAAAAUUCAAUACAAAAUUUCAAUACCGUCAACCCCCGUUGGUUUGACCUCAUCUAUCUAAACACUUUUUAGUGUGACCCCUCUAAUCUGCACAUUGUUCAAACUAAAAAUGGUUCAAAUGUCAUUCUGCUUAUGGAACGGGGUGAAACGGAACGCAGAAUCAAAAUAAAACAGCAAAAAGGGUUACUAUCUGUGUGUGUUUUCGAUGCCCACAGGGUUCCUAGAAGUUCAAAUUAGAAAAUGAACCCCGUUGAUUUGCAUGAGGUGUCGUUCAAACCAGCGGGGGUAGACGGUACAGUGCUUUGGAGGUGAACAGGAGUAUUUUAAAGUUUGGCAGUUUUGUUGAAGGUUCAAUUUCCAUUGGUAACUUCGAUUAAAGUUUUGAUAGGUCUAAAAUUCUAAAAUGAUCGUGUUUUCAUUCCAUCCAUUAUGCAACUUUAUUAAGGUGAAUAUAUAACGAAGCCACACUUCGAAUUUUCAAAAGCACAAAUCUGAAGAACCGAGGGUUGGUUUGCGCUGAAAAGUUGAUCGAUUGGUCACCACCAGCGGGUCACCAAUCGAUCAACUUUUCAGCGCAAUCCGUCUUUUAAUUCCUCAGAUUUGUGCUCUUGAAAAUUCGAGGUGUGGCUUCGUUAUAUAUUCACCUUAAAAUUUUGGAAUUUGCAAGCUAGGAAACAUGUUUAAAACAAAUUACCAUACAUUCUACCAAAUCAAAUUUCAAAAUAUUGUGUAAUUAAGUUAAAAAACAUUGAAAAAUAAUAAUCAUCAGAUGAGAUUCAGAAGAUGAAAUAUGUUACAAUAGUUGUGUUUGGAGAUUUGUGAAGCAUGCAUUGGCUGAAAAGAUGCAAUUUGCCUAACUUGGUGGAAUUUCGAUCGAUUUCUAUAAAUUAAUAUAAAAAAAAAUAUAUAUAUAUAGGACCUCUGUCCAGAGUCAAAUCCCUAUCAAGUACAGUAGAAGUUUGGUUGAUGCAAACGGUUUAACUGCAAUGCUUUUUAACUGUAAGUUCAGUAAGUGCAACAAAUUUGCAGUUAUCGCACUGCCAAUCGUCAAAAUGGUACGCCAUGUUAGCCCAAAUGAACAGUUGGAUGAAGUUCACGUCCAUUUAACGUCAAUUGAUGGCUUGUUGAUGUCUGUCUGGCGUUGCAGUUAUCAAAUUUCGUUCGAUUAGUGAAACGCAAAAAUGUUGCAGUUAUCGAACGUCUACUGUAUCAAGGCAACCACAUGUUUUAGAUUUUCUCGAAAACUGAGCCUAAAAAAAAAAACAAAAUCAUAGCAGCUCAGAAAAAGAAGCUCUUCAAUAUAACAUUUCUUAAAUAAGUAAUCACAUUCGUCGAAAAAGAUUAUUUGAUCCAAAAAGUCCGUAAAUAUAUACCAAAAACAAGUGAAAUUCUUCACUUUUUUUGUAAGAAAACGAAUGUCAUGAAAUCGAAAAUUUAAAAAUGUUUACAUUGACGUUACAAACAAAUUUCAUCUGAAAAUUUCAAUUGAAAUUGAAAAUGUAGGGCCCAAACGAAGAUACUCGAUGCCCAAGGAAAUCAAGGAGAUUUCCUUUACGGAAUGUUCCUGGAUGCCGUUGAUUUUAUAAAUUUAAUCAAAAAUGUUUCCUAACUUUUCCAAACUAGGUUUUUUUUUGUCUCUCAAAUAGUCAAUAAUCUUAGAUAUCCUCCAAAAUUGUAGAUAAAAAUGUAAAAUUGCUCAAAACAUUAGAUAAACUUUGAAAAUUGUGCUUUCAAUUUUUAUACAGUACAUGGGCACCAACUAUAUAUUUAUUCUAAUAUAUUCGCCAAUUUUGAUGUUUUUUCAACUUCAAUACAUAAUUUUAAUUUUAUUUAUUUUUUGCUGUUACAUAAAUCCAGAUUCAAAAAUUCGGAAAUAUAUAAACACCAUACCUGGCAUAAAUUCAAAUGAUCGCAGUGGAAUUUCAACGCAAUUUCAGAAAAAAAAAUAUGUUGUUAAUAUCAAAAAAUGUUUCAAACAGAUUACCGUAGUUUUGGCUAAAUAAAAUUUCAAAAUAUUAUUUUCUCGAGAACAAAAAAAUGAUCUUCAGAUGAGAUUUAGUAGAAAAAACAUAUACCUAACACCAAUUAUGUUUGAAAAUUUGUGAAGCAUACAUUGGUCGUGAAGAUACAAUCAUGCAAUGCUAAAUAUGGUUGCAUGUAAAGCAAUUUGUUUGAGUUUUUUUUCUUUUUUUUAUUUUUUACUUGAGUUAAUAUAAAUUUUAAAAAUAAAGUCCUCACUCUUAGAAGGAAACAACUAUCAUUUAUGUGAGUCUGUCCGUGUCAUAGGGUCCAAAAGUCGAAUUUCGGGUCUUGGUUCGAACCGAACUACAAAACAUGGUCCAAAAGAACAUUCACUAUUUUCUAUGAUUGAACUGGUUGUGGUAGAUUUUAAGUUUAAAUUGAACUGUUUGUCGCGGUGUAUUUACAGGUUUGUCUUUCAUUCUUUUGUUUUAAAUGUUUGUUAGUAAUACUGUUGCGAUCAAAAUGGCAUGUUUAUUUCCUUUAUUAUUAAACUAAAACGGGAUGAUUUUAAUUUAAGGACUCAAUUUUAUGAAAAAUUGUCUGGGUUUAUAAUUUGUUCAUAACGAAACAAGCGUGGGCUGCCUACUAAGUAUAUUGGAUUUUUUGCUGUUGCUUGACCAUAAUUUCAUAAAAUUUUGUCUUGAGAAAUUGUGCCCAAUGUUUUGAUGCUGAAUUUUCAUGAUAUUGGUCUAAAUUUGUUACUGCCAUUAUGAUAAUGAUGAUACCGAUGAUGUUAUAUUUUUUUAAUCUUCACAUAAAUGGAGUUGAAUGAUUUAAAAUUUACAGAAAAAGCGAGGUAAUGUUCCUGUGUUGUGAAUUAUAAAAAUGGUAAAAAACUACUAUGUCAUAGUUUUAAGGAUAAUAAAAAAAAGAAAAUGAAUUGUGUAAUGCGACUUAGUAUUAUCUGGAGUUCAUGUUGGUUUCCAGAAAAAAAAAAUCUAAAAAAAUAGUAAACUGCUUCGAAAAAAUCGGGCAUUGACAGUUUGCAUUUUGUUUGAAAAAGUUCGACCGAAGCUAGGCCAUUUUGUUGUUAUAGUGAUUGUUAUUUCGUUGAGUUGUUGUUGGCAGGUGUAAUUUUUAAAUGUAAAAUAUCAUGUUAUCUAGUCACGGUCACCAUCAUAAUAAUUCCAAAGCUUUGCUAAUUCAGGCUGAAAAUGUAUAGUUUUUUUUCUAUUAUUUGAUCUAGCAUCAUGCCAGUCUAGAAAUAUUUGUUGUAAAAACAAAAUUAGUGGAUUUUCUGUCGAUUUUUUUUUUGUUUUUUUUUUUUAGUUUAUAUUAAUUUUGGAUUGUUGGCCACUGCUUCGUUUUCAUUCUGAACUAGCCAACUGUUCCUUUAUUACUACAGUCAGAAAGAGUGGUUUUGCGAUUGAAAAUAUUUUGACAAUCAUUAAAAGUCAGAUUUUUUGAAGUUUUAUUUUUUUGAUUUUUGUAAGUUCUAUCGAAUAGGUAUCUUUGGAAAACCAAUCAUGGAAAUACCACAAAGAGAUUUGUCGCUGUUUUCGGCAAUGUAUGGCCUUAAGAGUUAAAGUCUUACAGGCCUUUCAUAAUUUAUCAGAAUUAUUGGGAGAAGUAAUAAUGGAGGUCACGUAUGCAUUUUAUGAAAAAAAAAAAACAUAGGAAUUCGCCUGAUGUUUUUGCUUCCGUAGACAAGAUGAUUUUGGUAGAAAAAUCAGCAGCGUAUUCGUUGCCGGCUAAUUGAGGACUUACAUUUUUGUCAGAGAAACUGAAAUUUGGUGAACUUUUGGAACACAUUGGGCCAAAAGUAAUCGCACUUUUGAUUGGCAGUCUUAUAGGGAGGUAUUUUUUAUAUUUCUUUUUUUCACGUGGGUAAUAGUAAAAAUUAAAAAAAAAAACAAUUCAAUAUUUUACAACGUGGUGCUUAGUUUUUGUUUUAAAUAAAUCUGUAAGUUGUAUGCGAUGCAAAUUUUGGAUGGCUGUCGUUAAAAAUGUACAAAAAAGAAUUAAAAAGAAUAAAUCGUGUACAAGCCGUAUGGAUGCCACUAUAUCAAAGCAAGGAGAAAUCUGUUUUUUUUUUUACUUGAAGAAAGCUUGUUUUACGUAUAUUGAAACUGAUGUUGUAUAGGAUGGAUUGACAUAGUAAUGACAGGCUGAUACCUUAUAACUAUCCCUUGGUUUUGAUAUCUUAAAUGUGAAGAAUUGUGAUUUGCAUUUAUAACGAUAUAUUUGUACCUUGAUAUAAAUUUCCACUUGACAAGUUUGGGUUUUGAAAUUUUUCAAAAAUUGGAAAAUUUUUAAAAUCACUGGGAAAUUUGCAAAAAAUAAUUUCGCCUGUUUUGCUGAUUUGUCUGUGAUUUGAGAUUAAAGAUAUGGUUUCGACUUUGCAAUCUUGUUUUAACGCAACUAAAUGUUUGAAUUUAUCCUACGUUUCGAAACCGGACUCGACGUCUUCUUCAGGGAAUAAAGUGUGAUUUUUCCUCUGUAUUUAGGGAUAUUUGUUCUGUUACGGUCAGUAUUGGGUUUUGGUCGAUACAUAUCAUACGAUUGGUCAAUAUUUUAAAAUAGAAAUUUAUGGUUUAGUGACUUUGCAUUCUGUUCACUCUGUUUUCGGGAACUACUGAAGCAUAAGCUCUUAUCGUGGACAAUCGUACAUCGAUUAUGCAAGUGCGAUCAAGCAGUGCGAUGAGUGCCAUGUUAUCAAGAUGAAUGUAAAUGUCCCAUCAUUACGAGCUGCCAGUGGCGUAGCCAGAAAUUGUCUUUGGGAGGGGUUUUCAGCGGUCAAUGAUACCUUUUUUGAUUUGACACUUACAUUUUGUAAACAGUAAGGAGUAAUUGUAUUCGUAGUUUGAAAAUAGCGGCGCAGCCGAAAAUUUUUUUCGUUGCAAAGCGCUUUAUACUGAAUAUUUGUUCCACAAAAUUUGGCUCGGGGGGGGGGGGGUUUAACCCUAAAACCCCCCCGUGGCUACGCCAGUGCGAGCUGCCCAGUGCUCAUAUUAUGUUGUCUUGAGUUCGGAUAUUAUUAAAACUUUAAAGUUAUUAUUUUUGAAUGCUUUCCGUUCUUUGAAGAUUAUAAAAAAAAUGGAUUUUGAACUUUUUUAAAUGCAGAUUCAGAAUUAUUGUUCUAAAACCGUUCAGGAAGUAUAAUUUAGGUCCAUUAUAUGGUUUAAGGUAAUUAAAUAUGCUUGCGUUGUUUGCUAGAAAAACUUUCAAGAAGGGCAGAACUUUAUAGAAUAUUAUAAAACUUGUAACAUAUUUUAAGGCAGAAUUGUUUUUUGAAAUUGAUGAAUUUAUGAAUGAGCUUAAUUUAUGUACCCAAGACGGAUUUAAAAAUCUUUUUGACGUUUCAGAUCUAAACAUGGAAGUUAUUGUAAAAGUUUAGAUUAAUAUGAAACUAUUUUUAUUUCGAAACUAUAAAAUACCAUGAUUUAAAUGAUUUGAAGCUUUUCGGUUUUCUUUUCACUGAUCCUUUAGGGAUGCUGUCUUUAAAGUUUAUGUUCAAGAAAACAAUCAUUGGGACGUUAUACUUUUAGUUUCGCUUAUAAAGGUUUUUUGUUUGUUGUUGUUUUUCCAGAUUCGUCUUAGUUUUCUAAGAUUAUUUGUUUUUUUUCGAACUGUUAUAUUUUGUUAUGCUAUUUCCGUAUUCAUCUAUAGAGUUUGUUUGUGUUAUUUGUACUUCAUUGUUUGUUUGAACUUUUAUUUUAUUUCAAUAAUAUAUGUAUAAGUUUCAUUCUUAGUUGGGUAAAUCGUGUAUAAGGAACAACCUAUGUUUUUUUCAUUUCUAUCUACGGUAUAAGCGCGUUACUUUUCUAUAACAUUUCGUUGGUUUAAUCUCUACUCUAAUCGGAUUUCAAUUUGUUGCACUGAGAUGCUGCGCCAAUUGAAAAACAUUCAAAUCAAGAAGUUACGUAACGCUAGGUCUGUCCUCAUCUAACCGGACAGUGUUGACAAUGUUCUGCCGGAAAUACCCAUCUACGAUCGCUGUUUGCGCUGUCGCCAUUUUGUUUUUUGUCUAACGCUAAAGAAAAAAAGCAAUGCAAAUAAGCUACUGUGCACUCUAAAAACGAGUGAUUCAUGUCAAUUGACAAACUUAUAAUUGUUAAAAAAAGAUAAAGAGCGUCUUAAAUCAGUUCCUUAAGAAUAAAAUAUUGAGUGAUGCGUCAAUUAGUUCAACCGUGAUAAAUUUCACCAUUUCUUUCGAAAUCGUAAAACGAAAAAAUGUGUGAGUGUGUGUAUGUGUGCUCGAAAAAAAUCAACAAUUUUUUGCUUAAACCGGUUUGCGCCAAAAGGUCACAAUUUUGACAGGAGCUAUUGUAGUUUUAUGAGUGUGGAUGUUCGCGUUUGGUCAGUUCGUUUAGGUUAACUAGUACCUAAGGUAGUAAGGCAUUAAGAAAACACUCGUUAACACAAGAGAAAAGAAAGCAAUCUUUCUAGAAAACACUAAAAUUUAAAGCUUCGGUUGAAUUAAAUAUUGUACGCACCUCUUUGUUUUUUUCUCAAAGUAGUUUUUUUGUCGAUCCAAAGGUCGCGUAUCGCGUUUUUGUUUAGCGCGUUCUUCGCGUUCGAUCCAAAACUUGGCCGCUUGGUUGUGUAUUUUUUUUUCGAUUGGAUUGUUUUGUUUUGCUUGUAUGUGGAAUUCAUUACUGUCAAACGAGUUCUCAGCUAGAAAGUUUGGUGGUUGUUUGGUCGACGAAACAAUUUGACAAAUUUCAGACAAUUUUGACAGAUAAUGCAUGAGCGGCGAAAAAACGAAAAUCAUAACCAUCUUUGAGUUACUCAUGCAGAACUGUCAAAAUGACAUGACAGCUGUCAAACAAUGUAAGGGAGUCAGCUGGUUUUGUUUUUGUUUUCGAUGACAAACGCCGAGGGGUCCACCGCACGCGCUUUUUUGCGUUCCACGUGGUCGAAAAAGUGAUCAAUUUUCGUUGGAGCCAAAUCGGAAACAUUUUCCCUCACAAGAUGCGCCAUGGCUGUCGCCCGUCGCGCCCUCUGUUCCGCAUGGUUCCCAGUUCAUAGUUUUUUUUCCUCCAUGUUCGAGAAAAGCCUGAAGAAGGGGAUUUGUUUUGAAUUUAUGCUCUGGAUUCGGAACGAGUUUUUGCCGUGUGCGUGUUGUGCAGUCUUCCUGCAGUGGGGGGUCUUACCGGAUUUUGAUUCAAACUUCUUAUGAAUGAUGGUAGAUUGGGGUUUCCCGUUUCCUCGGCUUGUUCAUGUCUUGCGAAACAAGAACCACACGAAGAAGCCAAGACGGGGCGACAGUCAGUAGUGAGACGAAGAUGUGAGGGCGUCCGCAAUAACUUUUCUCAUGCGCCUGAUUAUGCCUGGACGAGUUUUCAGAAGAUGGGUGUACGAAAACUUAAAAUAUGCAAAUUCAGUUUAGUAAGCAAAAUAUGUUGUUUCUUUUGAAGUCUUUCAUGUGUUUUCGAUUCUCGGUGGUUUGAUGUGUGGAACGCGGUGUAGCGAGGGGCAGGACCGUGUUUUUGCUGGACCAAAAGUUGGACGGAUUUCGAUGCCAGUCUGGUCGAUGAUUAGUGACGUCUCCUUUGAAUUUGGAACGAUUUGUUUUUUUAUUUUUAUUUUGGUUUCGGUUGAGAUUUUGAGGCGACAGGGUUGCCAGUUUAUGGCAAAGCAUUUAAAUUUGGGAUUUGAACCUAAAACCGUUGCACUUCAAAGUUCGUGUCGUUGGUUGGGGAUGCUGUGACGUGCGACCUGUUUUUGAAUUUCAGUUCAGUGGACGAACCAAAACAAAGCAAGCCAAAUACGCGUUUGCGAUAAUGGGCGAAUAAUGUGAGGAAUUUUCGGUAGGUGGCGCAUCCGCUCGCUAGAUGGUUCCUCUUAAUUAGGUCCGUGUUUUUGAGCGGUAACUAAACAUGGUUGGCUUGUUUUCAGAGGACAAACUUUCCGAAAGAUGGAUCAAAUGAAGGGGAGAAGCACCACUGCAGCAAGCACGAUGCAGCUUCUUCCUCUGUCAAAGAAAAACGAGAAAACUUUUUGAAUUUAUUAACUCUCGGUUGCCGGUAGUCGUUUGUUGAUGUACUUAAAAAUUUGUGCCGGAAAUAAAGCAAGGGAUGCGCUCGCCAUUGCCCAGAAAGAGAGUGAGAGGGAGAGAUAGGGCGUGUAGAAAAUAUAAAUUUAAGUCAAUUACCAAGAUGUGACGAGAGAAAUGGAGACGACAAAUGGGGGACACGAACUUUGAAGAAAGUUGCAGAUGAUGAAUUUUAAAGUAAAAACACUUGGACUUUCGUUUUGAUGUGUAUUGCUCCCGUACCGGUGUCGUGCUGGGCGCCGGGGCAUGCUUUUUGAACCGAGAAAUGGCAGUCGUUCACUCUGAGUGACUUGAAACGAUGAUGCUUCCGGUAAAUGGGAAAUAAUUUGCAGAAAGGAAAUUUAGCUGAUGAGACUUUCGCUUCGGAACCGGCCGAAUAUCAUCAAGGAAAUGUGUCCGCUUCCCAGCCUUCUGAGGUUUCACCGGAGCCGCCUACCCAGUUCGAGAAGAAAGAUAGAUGUUAAUUAACGAAAUAGUUUAAAUUAAUAGUGCAAAUUUGAUUAGAUGCCGAUAUAGUUCCUAGCCGAAGAGAAAGACUGCUUCAAUUUUCGAAAAGAAAAAUUGAUUUUCUACUUGUUUCGUCAGUUGGUGUCAAAGCAGAGCUGAAUCAUGGAUUUUGAACAAUGCAACAAUUUGGUUGCAGUUUUUGGCGUACCCUUUCGAAAGGUGUCAUUCCCCUGCGAGCUGUCACCUGAUGGCUGCCAAUCAGAGUGUAUUGAUUUGUUUGUUUUCACUUGUCUUGGUCCUACAUUUGGUAGGAAAUUUUCAUCACGGAGGUGUUCAGAUUCAAAAUUGGAGCAAACAUGAACUUGGCUGCCGCUAACCCCGGAUCGAGCUCAGCUGAGGAAAUGACAACCCUGCCAAUUGGGUUGUCAAAUUUGGAUUAACCGGGUUGCCAGUUUUAUAAAUAUUGUUUUUGAAUCUCGUCACUGUUUCGCAAUUUCGGUUGUUCUGGUAUAUUGGAUUGAAUUUGAAAGGGUGUAUCUCUUUCACUGUAACAAAACUCGUCUUGCUUGCCAGAAUGUCUUAUUUUAAAGCCCGAUCUGUGUAAUUUGUUUCGUUUAGAUGCUACCGCCUAAAUGUGUUUUCUCCAGAAAAAUAAUUAAGACACAAGGGGACGUUUAGAACGACGACGAAAGCAGCGACGAGAACGACGUUCAAAGGCUAUAAAUUUCGAAGACGCACCCUGGAUUACCGCGCUGCCAUGAGGGUCGAUUCACGUUCAGUCGAGCGUUGAAUUUUGGCGAGCACGUGCUCGGUUAUCUUUCGCCAUUCGGUUUUCGCUUGUGUUUGUGUCAGAAAUGUGAAUGUUGUCCGAACAGAAGCCGCAUUGCUUUGCUCUCGCAUAAGGUUUUGCUUCGAUUCAGCCUGCUUUGAUGGUUUUUGUCUUGAAGAUUAAGAAUGGACGAAAAAGCAAUUUUGCUGCCGUUAAUCGAGAAUAAUAACAACACAGCCAAUAGAUUUCUGUUUUAUGAUGGGUCUAUUAUUUUGGAAUUUCGUUAGUAUUUUGAUCAGUCUCACACCCUCCGUUUCGAAACUAUUCGGCACCACAACCCCAACCCAGGAAUUAAUAAUUCAUUUGAUCGAAAUUAAACGUCUUGCCAGAAACUCAGAACCCAAAAUAUUAUUGCUUCUUUUGGUUUUGAAUUUUGCUGCUCUGUUUUGAAUUAUGAAAGGGUUCGAUUGAAUAUUACAUUUUCGCGGUUUUGCAAAAGGAAUUUUUGGCUUUGGACUAAUUAGUUUCCAAUCGGUAUCCUGUUUUGCUUGCGGAGAGGUUCCUUCUUAGGUCAAACUGCGAACAAAAUGAAUUUUUAUACAAAUUUCGAAGGUUAUCCGAUGGGAAUGAGUUCAAUCAUAGCUAACCCUUUGAAAAGAACCCUUUCCAUCGAAUUGAUCGCCGAUCGGAAUCAACACUUUGUGCAGCUACCGUCGAGUAACCCCUCGUUUCAAUUUUCUGCUAAUGUUUUGAAUUUUGUUUCGGUUUUUGACUCAAAAUUUGUCGUUCUUUUCCGCUUCGGAAGAGAAGAAAUUUUGAUGAUUUUGUUUGUUUGGCUUUCAUUUGACUGACCCCAGAAGACGCCACUGUUUCAUUUUUAACUCACAAAAGUCCUAACUUGUUCACUGAACCCUUCCGUUUUUUUUAUCUUUCAACGAAUCAAACCUAUCACCAACUAUUCGGCACGCCCCUCGUUUGACAGCUGUUUCCCAGUCCAAAAGUCAUAAUUAUCACGAAUCGCGUUGAUUUUCCCGCUUCAUCUUUCGAACCGUUAUUCAUUUCAAUCCAACCUUGCUGUUUGAAAAUACAAAAAAUAAACGAAUGAAAAUAUGCAUUAAUUGUAGUUGAUUCCAAUUCCGAAGCCUACCGGUUAAUGGAUUUCGGGAUUUCCUUGCGAUCGAUCGGUUAUUUUUUCGUAUCUAAGUUUUGGGUCAUUUGAGAGAGAAAUACAAUAAACAAACCGAAACUAGGAAAUUCGGGGAAAAAUCCCCAUUCGUGUGCGGUUAACUGCCCAACAGAAGAAUUUAUGUAGUAACUUGGUAAAAUAAUUAUGAUUUGUUUGUUUCAGUGUGUUAGGUGUAGAUUUGUUUACUAUAAGUAACAUGUGGUAAUGUGUGGCAAAAUUAUUGAAUUCGUGUCUGAUUUAUUUUUGUGCCUUUGGAACGUGGCGUUCCAUUUUUUGUUUAUCGUUGUUCUUUUCAACGUUCCAGAAUGUGUUUAUUACAGAAAUUAUUACCAUUAUUUGCGACUUGUUUAGAGCCUAUUUCAAAAUAUAGAAUCUUUUUGUGUAACAAUCUCAAUGAGUUAACAAUAAAUUUUCGCUUAAAGUUUUGUUUUGGACUUAUUCCAAUAAUCCAGUAUCACUUUUUCUUCGAGUUUUGGAUUUGUGUUUUGUAUUUGCUAAACGUUAGAAAGCAACAAAUUGUCAUUUACUAUUUUUGUCUUGAUUGGAUGCAAUUUGGUUUUGGAAAAGUAAAUUUAACUAUUGCUGCGUGGUUUCACUUUGAGUGAGCAGCUUUUUUUUCUUUUGGUUUCGUUUGACGUGUUUUCAAAGUAUUUCGAUUAAAGAUAUGUUUGUCACGCAAAUGUGUAAAUAAAUGUUUUUCAGUUUUCAACAAAUAUGAUGUGUAAACAUUUCGGCUAAAUAGUAGUUUUACUUUUCUUUUUCCUAAAAUUUUCCUAUGAACAACUGGAUCAGUUUUCAGUUUUCAACUAAACAAUCCUCAUCACGGGGUUUCACGCCAAAUCGGUUACCCGAAAUUGGUUCUUUUGGUUUUAACGACAAUGAAAAUAAUUUCUGUCAUAAAGAGCUUGCAUCAUUUAGUUUGUGCGUAUUGUCAACAUUGUUUUUGGUUAUUAAUUUUCUCUAUGAUUUUUUGACAGUAUUCCGGGUAAUGUCCCAUUAGCCGAGAUUGAUAAUUUGUCUCCAAAGCUUGCUUAGUAGGUUUGAAUCCAAUAACUUUGUUCUUCCUGUUAAUAAAUUAUUCGUAUGUUUCUGUUAAUAAACAAUAAACAAAACAUUCCAGUUAUUGUUUACUAUUGCCUUAAGUUUGACAUGUUGUUUAUGUUUUCUGUGCAUUGAGUUGAAAAAAGAUUCGGUUUGUCAAAACGGAAUCCUAAUUAAGAGAACUAUCAUUAUCCUAGCUAUUGUUUGGUUGUGGUGUGACUAAUAAAAAAAAGUUAAAUCUAAGCUCAAGUUAAAGAAACCUAUAACCUAUAGUCAAAAACUUAGGACUAAAUACUUAUCGCAAAAGUAGAACGAAAAUUGGAGCGAUGCAUACGUUUGACGUUUAUUGUUUACUGUUGUUUGUUGUACUGUUUUUGUUUUUGCUUUGCCUGCCAUAAAUUGGUUUGUAAUCUGAACCAAAUCAAAAACAAAGUGUAAUUACUCUGCGUUCGGAUUUGAUUCUCUAUGGUUGCAACAUUCGGAAAGUAUACUUCUCUGAAAGCUUCCGCUCGAUGGGAAAGCUUUGAUUGGUCCUCCUGUUGCCUCCUCCUGGAUGUCUCUUCCUUGGUGACACGAUGGCGUCGGUGACGACGCCGACAACGACGACGACGACACAAAACAAACGACCCGUCGUCUUCCACACAGUUUCUUUCGCGACGAUAAACUUCCAUUUCACUUUGGUUUGUUGUUUUUUGUUUCCUUUUGCUGGCCUCGUGGUUGGUUUUGGAUUGUUCGCUUUACGUUCGGGACGGAAUUUGUUCUCUAUCGCUGAUGCUUGCUCGGGAGAAGUUUGAAUGUCUCUGGUACAUAACCUCGAACCGAAACGUCGGGUAGCAGCGUUACGCUUCCCCUCUUUUUUGAUGCAGAAUUUCGCUCUCUGUCUGCCGAAAGACAACUUCCCCUCGAUUAUGUUUUUGAACUUGAACCGGUUCCCCCUCUGGCGGAGAUGUGUGUUAUUUACGAAAUGCUUCGUUUGGUUGUGAGUGAGCUUCUGUUUUUGCUAGUAAAUAGAAGUCUUCGCACGACUGUAUUGGCAGCGCCGGCUGUUUUUGCUUGUGUGUGCGCCAGGGCACGUGGUCGCGCGUAGCGUUACCGUGCGUUACGACGAGCGUGGGAAUGCUGCGAAGACAAGAUGGCGUAUCAAUAUUUUAUUCUUUCGCAUCUACGCUAAUCAGUGUGGUGAGCUGUGAGCUCUUUCUUAAAAACAAAGUGUCUAAUUCCUAACAAAAAACGGCGGCAGCGAGGGCGAUCGUCCCGGAGGGGUUCCCCCAUCCGGACGGUGGCUGUGUAUUUACGGCAAACAUUCCGUGCAGUCGAUCUGAAUGUUUUCCAUUGAGUGCUUUCGGAAUGGAAUUUUGCUUGCUGUAUGUGUCAGGUGACUGAAACAAAUGUCACUAAACAUUGUUAUUUCAAGUUGCAUCCAGUGUCUAUGGUGACUUUUCCCUGAGGUGAAGCGUUCCUUUGGAGAUAAACAGUGACGGUGGUAGGGCUGGAAGUAUAUGUCGCCAUACUGGAGCUGUUUCGUUGCGACGAGUUCGUUCAAAUCCCUCUGUCUGUGGAGAAGAGAAAUAAAACAAAUAUUAGUACAAAUAUACUUAUUGUAUUUUAUGACAUGUGGUAGAGAUACAAUAAAAUUAAAACUUUAAAACUU